UGUGCUGAGUGUGCCAGGGUUGAGAC
rnacentral:piRNA from 1 species